GCAUCUGCAUGGAGUUUAUGUAAUCUGUACAUCAAAUUGUGAAACGUAUAAACAUAUAAGACAGAUUAAUAGUACUUUUCCGAACCUAUGGGUGAAUGGUGGUGCAUGGCCAUUCUUAUUUCGUAGAGUGAUUUAUCUUAUCAAUUCCGAUAACGAAUGAGACUCAUAUAUAUUAAAUAAAUGCUUUCGGGAUUAUUGUGUUAAAGCUUUUAUAGCUUCCGUUUACGAGUACGGAAUAAAAUGCGUGAGUGUUUGAAUAUGAUUAUAAAAGUGAAGCCAUACCUGUUGAUAUGUACUUUAGGAGCACACUUAGUUUCUUAAAUAGGCAACGAAUGACGUCUAGAAAUAAAGGGAUUGAACAACAACAAGUCUGUAAUGCCCUUAAAUGUCCUGGACUGCACGUGUGCUAUCAACGAAAAAUCCGAGUAAAUCGCUGAACCAGUUUCAUGCUUAAGAUUGUGAACUAAAACUGUUCACAUAAACUUAGAAUUCUCAGUAAGUGUAAAUCAUUAAACCGCAUUGAUUGCAUUCCUGC
rnacentral:ncRNA from 1 species